UACGGGGGGGGCAAGCGUUGUUCGGAAUUACUGGGCGUAAAGGGCUCGUAGGCGGCCAACUAAGUCAGACGUGAAAUCCCUCGGCUUAACCGGGGAACUGCGUCUGAUACUGGAUGGCUUGAGUUUGGGAGAGGGAUGCGGAAUUCCAGGUGUAGCGGUGAAAUGCGUAGAUAUCUGGAGGAACACCGGUGGCGAAGGCGGAUCUCUGGGCCUUACCUGACGCUGAGGCGCGAAAGCUAGGGGAGCAAACAGG
rnacentral:rRNA from 1 species